GCAGCCGCGGUAAUUCCAGCUCCAAUAGCGUAUAUUAAAGUUGUUGUGGUUAAAAAGCUCGUAGUUGGAUCUCAACAGCCUUGAAGCGGUUAACUUUGUAGUUUUACUGCUUUAUAGGCUGUGCUUUUGCUGGAGGUUUAGGGGUGCUCUUGAUCGAGUGUCUCUGGAUGCCAGCAGGUUUACUUUGAAAAAAUUAGAGUGCUCAAAGCAGGCUAAAAUGCCUGAAUAUUCGUGCAUGGAAUAAUAGAAUAGGAUGUCGAUCCUAUUUUGUUGGUUUUCGGGACUCGACAUAAUGAUAAAUAGGGACAGUCGGGGGCAUUUGUAUUCAAACGACAGAGGUGAAAUUCUUGGACCGUUUGAAGACAAACUACUGCGAAAGCAUUUGCCAAGAAUGUUUUCAUUAAUCAAGAACGAAAGUUAGAGGUUCGAAGGCGAUUAGAUACCGCCCUAGUUCUAACCAUAAACGAUGCCAGCUAGCGAUCUGCCUGCGUUUUUACUGUAGACUGGGCAGGAAGCUUCCGGGAAACCAAAGCAUUUGGGUUCCAGGGGAAGUAUGGUUGCAAAGCUGAAACUUAAAGGAAUUGACGGAAGGGCACCACCAGGAGCGGGGCCUGUGGCUUAAUUUGACUCAACACGGGAAAUCUCACCAGGCCCGGACACUGGAAGGAUUGACAGAUUGAUAGCUCUUUCUUGAUUCGGUGGGUGGUGGUGCACGGCCGUUCUUAGUUGGUGGAGUGAUUUGUCUGGUUAAUUCCGAUAACGAACGAGACUCUGUCCUGCUAAAUAGUUUCUACUUCUCUUUUGAGUAGAAAUUUCUUCUUAGAGGGACUGGGUGACUCUUAGUCACACGAGAUUGAGCAAUAACAGGUCUGUGAUGCC
rnacentral:rRNA from 1 species